CGAACACACCUUCAAUAAUAUUAAUACAGUGGGUGGCUGUCAACACAGACCACAAACAGGGCCUCUGCCUCAGUUCCCUGGUGCUAAAGUUCUUACAACAAAGGUAAAGAAUGAGGGCAGAGGAACACAAUGGGUUGGAAGAGAAAUGAAGUUAAAAAAAAAACAAAACCCAGAGGGUGUGAGCCUCUGUCAGUGCAAUGGGCUUCCGGGUUCCCUGUGCUGAGGAAGGAUGGGCAGCAAGACCCAAGUUUCCUGGGAUUUUGCAGACUCUGGAGUGAAGCCACCGCCCAGACGGGAUGUGUACCUUAGGUUAGUGUGAGCAGGUUGAAGCAGGUGGAGGAGGUGGGCAGGCGGCCACCUGGCUCCCGCUUGCGGAUGGUGAAGAAGCCCCGGAGGACGCUGCCCAGAGUGUCCCCGGUGUCCUGAAGGCACACAUCAUGGCCUUGGAUUGGGAAGGGCCUGGUUUGGGAACCCAGGCAGAUGCCAAGGCCAGGGAGCCCAGGGAGGGGAUCUGGCCAGUCCCUGGAUGCUGGGCAGAGUGCAGGGCGCUGCCCUGGCACCACUACCCGAGGUCAAGCCCCAGACACAAGACGACUGGCUUCCAGAGAAGGAACCCCUUCUCCCUGGGGCCUGCACAGAAAAUUCC
rnacentral:lncRNA from 1 species